UACAGAGGUCUCAAGCGUUGUUCGGAUUCAUUGGGCGUAAAGGGUGCGUAGGCGGCGCGGUAAGUCGGGUGUGAAAUCUCGGAGCUUAACUUCGAAACUGCAUUCGAUACUGCCGUGCUUGAGGACUGGAGAGGAGACUGGAAUUUACGGUGUAGCGGUGAAAUGCGUAGAUAUCGUAAGGAAGACCAGUGGCGAAAGCGACUCUCUGGCUCGUACCUGACGCUGAGGCGCGAAAGCUUGGGUAGCAAACGGG
rnacentral:rRNA from 1 species